UUCACUAAGUAAACAUGCAAGCGUGUACCAUCGAUGGUACACGUGGCACGGAACGUGUUAAAAAAAGAAAAGUAACAAAGAACGAUUAAUUCCUCGAGAGACGAAACUCUAUUUCUUUUUUUGUUUGUUCAGGAACGAGCCUGCGCAGAUUGUACGAAUGUUUUCGAAACACCUUGUAUAUUUUAUUGCCAUUUCCAGGUAAAAUACUCGCAUGUAAAUAGUGUGACGGAGGGCUAAAUCGAAUAACAACGGUCUUAGAGUUUUUUCGGCGGAUUUCUUGGGCAGAUAUGCAUAAAUUUCCUUGUCCGUUGUGCAAGAAAAGAGCAAUCAACUUCUUACAACAGGGCACAGCGUAGCGAGGCUGCGUCGUGGCAGGCUGUCACAGCAUAGUAAACACAGAGGGGACGUAAUAUCAAAGAGGAAUAAGAUCCGAUGCACGCUGGGAACAGAAACGUGUCCCAGAAUUGUUGAUCAUUUUUAAAUAGGCGAACGUUAAGGACGACGUUCGCAUACUGUGCCGUCUUGUAACGAACUUGUCUCUCUCUCUAUAUAUAUACACAGGGUGUUCGGCUUCGAAUGGGAAAAAAUGUAACGGAUGAUUCUUCCAUAAGAAUGUCGAACAAUAAUAAUCAAGAGCAAAGAGAUUGCGGUUUUCGCUUCGUUUUCUGGUUGUUAAUUACUGGCAGUCUGUCAGCAACGGGGCCUGAGCCAUCGGGAUGCUCUCUGAUCUUUGACAAACUCGAAAACAAGGCUGAAACUGUAUGUUUUCUUUUCUUUUGCCCUUAAUCUUUAUGUUGUAUUGCCCAGAAGAAUGAUUUCUUAAGGUUUUCUCGCAUUCGCCGCCGAGCGUCGUGCGUAUACACAUGUAUAUCGAGUUAUUCGGAAACUUAUUGUUAAGCUUGCGUUACACACCUCAUUUGUAAAUAUUAGAUAUCAUAUUUUUGUCUGUAGCAUAAUGAGGAUUUUAAAAUUGCAAUUGAUUCGGUUUCUAGUAUACAGGUACAUAUUAGAUAAAGCUGGAAACAAUAAUGGGAAAAAUGGAGCGUUGUCAUUACUCCGGCUUGUAAAUUAUGUAAUUCUACAUGUGAAAUAACAUUUAUUAUAAUACGCAAUUUCUUAUUGUAGUUAUUUCCAAUUCAACUAUCAUUCGACGUAGUGUAAUUGAGAUAAUGAACAAAUGCGACUGAGCUCCGUGCUGCUGCAGCGAAUACAUUGCAUUUCGGUUACGAUAGUAAUUUAAUAUUCAACCAGCUAUCACAAAGUGUGUAACCGAAUGUGUUAACACGUGUGAAAAAUUUUAUUAAGUAACGUUGUUACCAUAUUCAAAGAAAUGAAACCAAACUCUUCAUUUAAGUAUUCUUUAUUUUCCAUUCGAUUGUAUUGUAUAAUUAGAGUGAUUAAAAAUGAACAUUUGUGAUGAGAGAAAAAAAUGACCUCAAUCAUAAGCAAGAUGUAUGGUGAAAAUGUAUAAAUAAAUAGUAAAAUAAAUUACAAUAAAAAAUGAUUCAUUAAUUCACAA